GGGCUCGGGACUCGGGCCUGGAAGAACAGCACGGGGGGAAUGGCUUCCCACUGCCACAGGGCAAAGUUAGAUGGGGUCUUGGGAAGAAAUUCUUCCCUGUGAAGGUGGAGAGGCCUUGGCACGGGUCGCCCAGAGAAACUGUGGCUGCCCGGUCCCUGGUAGUGUCCAAGGCCAGGAUGGAGCAGCCUGGGAUAGUGGAAGGUGUCCCUCCCAUGGCAGGUUGAUGGGAUUGCACGAGUUUUAAGGUCCGUUCUAAGCAGAUAGAGAAGAUCUCUGAAGCCAAAUUCUUGUCCAGAAUAGAUGGUUGAAAUCAAAAUAGCCUUUUGGUGUGAUGGGUACCAAGAUGGGAGAAGGGUUAGUCAGUCUGGCAGCCCAGCUAGUGAGGCUGCUGGAAUGCUGCUUCUGAGACUACUGCUUCAAUUCUCAUCUCUGCCCAAGUCCAAGUUUUACCAGUGACUUGAGCACCUAAAUCUGAUUAAAAUAUGAUUUAGACAACAGCUGCAAUCAAUCUAAUACAAUCUAAUGUUUUCAUACCUGUUGGCUGUUUAUUAAAUACAGUCAUGGAGAGGGGCUGGG